GGAAAUUUUAGUUAACAGAAUUAUUUUUUAUUUAGCAUUUUUAUGGACCAAUACAAUUUUAGGUGCUACAACAAUAACAAAAAAAACAACAACUGAAGUGCUUUCUCUUACACAUGGACACAGGGAGGGGAACAACACACACUGGGGCCUGUCAAGGGGUGUGGGGGAGGGAGAGCAUCAAGAAAAAUAGUUAAUCCAUGUUGGGCUUAAUACCGAGGUGUUGGGUUGAUAGGUACAGCAAACCACCAUGGCACACGUUUACCUAUGUAACAAACCUGCACAUCCUGCACAUGUACCCCAGAAGUUAAAAUUUUUUUAAGGUGAUUUCUCU
rnacentral:lncRNA from 1 species